rnacentral:snoRNA from 1 species
GCUGCCCCUCAAGGCGUUGCAGGUGUGGCUGCUGCGUCACAUCUGCGUCACUAGGCGGCAGAGAGAAUCGAGGCUAUGUCUAUGCUCAGUGUUCCGACCCGUAACCGCCUGAAUGAUUAGUAGCCUGACGCA